rnacentral:rRNA from 1 species
GGGUUGUGAGGUUAAGCGACUAAGCGUACACGGUGGAUGCCCUGGCAGUCAGAGGCGAUGAAGGACGUGCUAAUCUGCGAAAAGCGUCGGUAAGGUGAUAUGAACCGUUAUAACCGGCGAUGUCCGAAUGGGGAAACCCAGUGCAAUUCGUUGCACUAUCGUUAACUGAAUACAUAGGUUAACGAGGCGAACCGGGGGAACUGAAACAUCUAAGUACCCCGAGGAAAAGAAAUCAACCGAGAUUCCCCCAGUAGCGGCGAGCGAACGGGGAGCAGCCCAGAGUCUGAAUCAGCUUGUGUGUUAGUGGAACGGUCUGGAAAGUCCGACGGUACAGGGUGAUAGUCCCGUACACCAAAAUGCACAGGCUGUGAACUCGAAGAGUAGGGCGGGACACGUGGUAUCCUGUCUGAAUAUGGGGGGACCAUCCUCCAAGGCUAAAUACUCCUGACUGACCGAUAGUGAACCAGUACCGUGAGGGAAAGGCGAAAAGAACCCCGGCGAGGGGAGUGAAAAAGAACCUGAAACCGUGUACGUACAAGCAGUGGGAGCACCUUCGGGUGUGACUGCGUACCUUUUGUAUAAUGGGUCAGCGACUUAUAUUCUGUAGCAAGGUUAACCGUAUAGGGGAGCCGCAGGGAAACCGAGUCUUAACUGGGCGUUAAGUUGCAGGGUAUAGACCCGAAACCCGGUGAUCUAGCCAUGGGCAGGUUGAAGGUUGGGUAACACUAACUGGAGGACCGAACCGACUAAUGUUGAAAAAUUAGCGGAUGACUUGUGGCUGGGGGUGAAAGGCCAAUCAAACCGGGAGAUAGCUGGUUCUCCCCGAAAGCUAUUUAGGUAGCGCCUCGUGAACUCAUCUUCGGGGGUAGAGCACUGUUUCGGCUAGGGGGUCAUCCCGACUUACCAACCCGAUGCAAACUACGAAUACCGAAGAAUGUUAUCACGGGAGACACACGGCGGGUGCUAACGUCCGUCGUGAAGAGGGAAACAACCCAGACCGCCAGCUAAGGUCCCAAAGUCAUGGUUAAGUGGGAAACGAUGUGGGAAGGCACAGACAGCCAGGAUGUUGGCUUAGAAGCAGCCAUCAUUUAAAGAAAGCGUAAUAGCUCACUGGUCGAGUCGGCCUGCGCGGAAGAUGUAACGGGGCUAAACCAUGCACCGAAGCUGCGGCAGCGACACUAUGUGUUGUUGGGUAGGGGAGCGUUCUGUAAGCCUGCGAAGGUGUGCUGUGAGGCAUGCUGGAGGUAUCAGAAGUGCGAAUGCUGACAUAAGUAACGAUAAAGCGGGUGAAAAGCCCGCUCGCCGGAAGACCAAGGGUUCCUGUCCAACGUUAAUCGGGGCAGGGUGAGUCGACCCCUAAGGCGAGGCCGAAAGGCGUAGUCGAUGGGAAACAGGUUAAUAUUCCUGUACUUGGUGUUACUGCGAAGGGGGGACGGAGAAGGCUAUGUUAGCCGGGCGACGGUUGUCCCGGUUUAAGCAUGUAGGCUGGUUGUCCAGGCAAAUCCGGAUAAUCAAGGCUGAGGUGUGAUGACGAGGCACUACGGUGCUGAAGUAACAAAUGCCCUGCUUCCAGGAAAAGCCUCUAAGCAUCAGGUAACAUCAAAUCGUACCCCAAACCGACACAGGUGGUCAGGUAGAGAAUACCAAGGCGCUUGAGAGAACUCGGGUGAAGGAACUAGGCAAAAUGGUGCCGUAACUUCGGGAGAAGGCACGCUGGUGUGUAGGUGAAGCCCCUGCGGGUGGAGCUGAGACCAGUCGAAGAUACCAGCUGGCUGCAACUGUUUAUUAAAAACACAGCACUGUGCAAACACGAAAGUGGACGUAUACGGUGUGACGCCUGCCCGGUGCCGGAAGGUUAAUUGAUGGGGUUAUCCGUAAGGAGAAGCUCUUGAUCGAAGCCCCGGUAAACGGCGGCCGUAACUAUAACGGUCCUAAGGUAGCGAAAUUCCUUGUCGGGUAAGUUCCGACCUGCACGAAUGGCGUAAUGAUGGCCAGGCUGUCUCCACCCGAGACUCAGUGAAAUUGAACUCGCUGUGAAGAUGCAGUGUACCCGCGGCAAGACGGAAAGACCCCGUGAACCUUUACUAUAGCUUGACACUGAACAUUGAGCCUUGAUGUGUAGGAUAGGUGGGAGGCUUUGAAGCGUGGACGCCAGUCUGCGUGGAGCCAACCUUGAAAUACCACCCUUUAAUGUUUGAUGUUCUAACGUUGGCCCCUGACCGGGGUUGCGGACAGUGUCUGGUGGGUAGUUUGACUGGGGCGGUCUCCUCCCAAAGCGUAACGGAGGAGCACGAAGGUUAGCUAAUCCUGGUCGGACAUCAGGAGGUUAGUGCAAUGGCAUAAGCUAGCUUGACUGCGAGCGUGACGGCGCGAGCAGGUGCGAAAGCAGGUCAUAGUGAUCCGGUGGUUCUGAAUGGAAGGGCCAUCGCUCAACGGAUAAAAGGUACUCCGGGGAUAACAGGCUGAUACCGCCCAAGAGUUCAUAUCGACGGCGGUGUUUGGCACCUCGAUGUCGGCUCAUCACAUCCUGGGGCUGAAGUAGGUCCCAAGGGUAUGGCUGUUCGCCAUUUAAAGUGGUACGCGAGCUGGGUUUAGAACGUCGUGAGACAGUUCGGUCCCUAUCUGCCGUGGGCGCUGGAGAAUUGAGGGGGGCUGCUCCUAGUACGAGAGGACCGGAGUGGACGCAUCACUGGUGUUCGGGUUGUCAUGCCAAUGGCACUGCCCGGUAGCUAAAUGCGGAAGAGAUAAGUGCUGAAAGCAUCUAAGCACGAAACUUGCCCCGAGAUGAGUUCUCCCUGAGACUUUAAGUCUCCUGAAGGAACGUUGAAGACGACGACGUUGAUAGGCCGGGUGUGUAAGCGCAGCGAUGCGUUGAGCUAACCGGUACUAAUGAACCGUGAGGCUUAACCUUACAACGCCGAAG